CAGGACGAACGCUGGCGGCAUGCCUAACACAUGCAAGUCGAACGGAGUCGAGGGCUGCUCCUGAACUAGUGGCGGACGGGUGAGUAACGCGUGAGUAACCUGCCUUUCAGUGGGGAAUAAUAUUCUGAAAAGAGUACUAAUACCGCAUAACGUAUAGAAACCGCAUGAUUUUUAUACCAAAGAUUUAUCGCUGAGAGAUGGACUCGCGUCCGAUUAGCCAGUUGGUGAGGUAACGGCUCACCAAAGCAACGAUCGGUAGCCGGACUGAGAGGUUGAACGGCCACAUUGGGACUGAGACACGGCCCAGACUCCUACGGGAGGCAGCAGUGGGGGAUAUUGUGCAAUGGGGGAAACCCUGACAACAGCAAUGCCGCGUGAAGGAUGAAGGUCUUCGGAUUGUAAACUUCUUUUGUCAAGGACGAUAAUGACGGUACUUGACGAAUAAGCUCCGGCUAACUACGUGCCAGCCGCAGC
rnacentral:rRNA from 1 species